rnacentral:rRNA from 1 species
UACGGGGGGGGCAAGCGUUGUUCGGAAUUACUGGGCGUAAAGGGCUCGUAGGCGGCCAACUAAGUCAGACGUGAAAUCCCUCGGCUUAACCGGGGAACUGCGUCUGAUACUGGAUGGCUUGAGUUUGGGAGAGGGAUGCGGAAUUCCAGGUGUAGCGGUGAAAUGCGUAGAUAUCAGGAGGAACACCGGUGGCGAAGGCGGGUCUCUGGGCCGAAACUGACGCUGAGGAGCGAAAGCGUGGGGAGCGAACAGG